CGUUCCUACGGGGCGCAGCAGUGGGGAAUAUUGCACAAUGGGGGAAACCCUGAUGCAGCGACGCCGCGUGAGUGAAGAAGUAUUUCGGUAUGUAAAGCUCUAUCAGCAGGGAAGAAAAUGACGGUACCUGCCUAAGAAGCCCCGGCUAACUACGUGCCAGCAGCAGCGGUAAUACGUAGGGGGCAAGCGUUAUCCGGAUUUACUGGGUGUAAAGGGAGCGUAGACGGCAUGGCAAGUCAGAUGUGAAAGUCCGUGGUUCAACCCCGGGACUGCAUUUGACAC
rnacentral:rRNA from 1 species